rnacentral:rRNA from 1 species
UACGGAGGGUGCAAGCGUUAAUCGGAAUUACUGGGCGUAAAGCGCACGCAGGUGGCUGAGUCAGUCGAUUGUGAAAGCCCUGGGCUUAACCUGGGAAUUGCAGUCGAUACUACUCAGCUAGAGUAUGGGAGAGGGUAGUGGAAUUCCCGGUGUAGCGGUGAAAUGCGUAGAUAUCGGGAGGAACAUCAGUGGCGAAGGCGGCUCACUGGACCGGAACUGACGCUGAGGCGCGAAAGCGUGGGGAGCAAACAGG